ensembl:lncRNA
CCACCUCUAAUUACCAAUUUAAUACAGAAUAAUUUGAAUCCUGUACAUUUAUCUAAUUACCAUACCAUCUAAUUUCUAACUUGCCAUUUGUAUAAAAAAUAUGGAAUAGGCUGUUGUCUCUGACGUGACAUACAGUCAAGUAUAGUGACCCAUAUUUAGAAUUCGUGCUCUGCAUUUAACCCAUCCAAAGUGCACACACACAGCAGUGAACACACACACCAGUGGGCAGCCUGGGGAGCAGUUGGGGGUUCGGUGCCUUGCUCAAGGGCACCUCAGUCGUGGUAUUGUCAGCCCGAGACUCGAACCCACAACCUUAGGGUUAGGAGUCAAACUCUCUAACCAUUAGGCCACGACUUCCCCCCCAAACACUUGAUAAUAACCGUGGAACACACAGCACUAUUUAUAUUUAUAUACACAUACACUUAUUUAUCUAACACACAUACUUAGUGUACACUUAAAUUUUUGUACAUAAUAUACCUGUACAUACAUAACUGCCUAUUGUAAUAUACAGUAGGUAGACAUCCAAAACGUCACUUCUACCGCCGCUCGUACCGCCGCCGCGGCGUCUGCAAAGUGCAUUUGCAGCUUUUGACCGCUGAGUGGCGCUUUAAUCACAAGUUUUUCAAACAAGCGCAUCAAAGCACAUUUUCGCAAAUAGACGUCAGUUUUGCCUCUCUGAUGUGUUACAUUUGACGGCUGCAGUCAGGGAAAAUGAAAGAAAAACACUAUAGUUAAAAAUAUUUAAUAUUCACAGAUGAAAGUUUGGUAAUUAUAAAGUUAUGUGCAUUUCUUAGAACGAAUUCAAGGAGGAUAAAUGUCAAGCCUGUGCCUGAGCCUGUGCUUAUAUUUUCUCUAAGCUACACAGUAUUACACCAUAUUUUAGAUUUGACACAUUUAAUAGGUGUGCAGUAUUAUUUAUAUAAUAUGAAUUAUGUGUUAUAUUAUUCAAAAGAAAUUGUGGUUUACUUUGCAUCAGAGCAUUAAAAGUGGUAGCAUAGUGAGCUAGGCUUGCGUGUUUUAUAAAUUAUUUUCUUUAUUUUAGUAAAACGUGAGGCACUGAAUAAUUUCGCUCCCAUUAUUUAGGCCUAAUUAAAACAAGAAAUGAAUAAAUUAAACCUGCACAAUUUAACUAAAUCAUUGAAACUCUAAAGAAUGGAAUGAAAGAAUUCAUGAUUAAACUCAAGUUCUCUUAUUAUAAUCAACAAAAUACACACAAUGUAAAAAAGAGCUUCAUUAAUUGACAACUUCAGUCUUCUUUAAUUGCUUUCAUGUAAUUUAAGUUAAAUAAAUAAAUAAAUAAAUAAAUAAAUAAAUUGUAGCCACAUUUAAAUGCAGGUUUGUAUAAUAUUCCUUAAAAUAUCAGUGCAAGAUUUGCUCUGCGCAUGAAGCUGAGUGCUCGCAGCAUUUAUUCUUAUUUGUCUACAUAUUUUAUCUUCAUUACAAAUCUUGUUUGGUUUUAUUUGGGAUAAUUGCUUUGUAAUGCAUAUGCAAAAUGUGAAUUAUUAUUCAUAUUCAAGUGUUUGUGUGAAAAUUAUUAAUGUGCAUGCAUGACAGGGAGGCGCCCUCUAGGCCACGUGAUUUUUUUUCCUGAUAAUGAAAUAACUGAAAAUGGUGGUGUCUCACAUACAUGAGAAAUAUAUCUACAGAAAGCUUGAAAUGUCUUUUAAACUAAUCAAUUCAACACGAAAGCAUUAUGUAAUCUGUGAGAGUUGUAUUUCUCUCUAAAGGCGCGUCCAUGUGGAGAGCGUCAGCACUGUGAAUUUCAUCUUGCAGCCAACAAGAAAACAUUUGUUUAUUAAUAAAUAAUUAAAAUGUCUCUUUUUUCACAAUUAUUAGGCUAUUUCUGCCUGUGCUUUGUGGCAAACUUAAUGCAUGUGCUUGAGCGUGGAAUAUAUUAAGGCUCAUUAUGGAUUAUAGAUGUAAAUUUAAUAUAAACCUGCGAUUAGUUGAAUGAUGACAAAUUAACGACUAGUAACUAGAAAAAUCUUACGAGGCAGACCUAUUAAAUACCCUCUCGACAUCUCUGUUAAAGUUUUGAAAGCAUUUUAUACGCGUUUGCAUAAAUUCUUCUUUCUUCACUGCAGAGCUACCAGUUUUAAUCUGAACAGCUCUUAAUGCUGAGUGGAUGGUUAGAUGCAUGAUGGGCUAGUAUUAAAAAAAUAAAUAAAUAAAAUAAAGGUCUUUCCAGCAUUAAGGUAAUAACAUUAGCUACUGCUUUUUUUUUAAUCAUCUUGUUUCAGUUAUAAAUUUGAUUGGUAAAUGAUAAAGAAUUAUAUGAAAACUUGUUUUGAACAAUUUAUUUGUCAUUUGAAUAUUGAUUUUAAGUAGGGAGGCAAAAAAAAAAACGAUUUAAAUCAUAAAUAGGCCAUUGCCCAGCCCUAAUGCAACAGUUUUUUUUUUUUUUUAGUUAAAGGCAACUUCCUCUGAAAUUAAGUUAUAAUAACUAAAAAACUUUAUUGCGCUAUACAGUAGUCAACAUUUGAAGUGGAUCAAACCUUUCUUUAAAGUUGUUUUAAAACCAAUAUGUCCUAAAAACCUGUUCUGCAAGUUUGAAACCCUCAUAAGACUGUCCAUAUGAAAGACCAAGAGAUUCACACCUUUAACUCGACCCCCACAAGCUAUACAGAACUACCC